GAUAAUUAAGAUAGUUUCGACGAGUCGGGUUGAUUCAGUGUUGACAAGAGACUCCGGCCAGAUUACUCAUAUGGAAGAACUUUCGAUUGUUUUGAUGUUGGUUAUGUGGUUUUAUCUAUGUUUACUUCUUACUAGGAUUUUGGACACCGUUCUUGCUAUUUUCUACAUGAUCCUCCCUUCGGAGGAUGAUGAUGAUUAGACUAGACUACGUAUAAAUCGGGCCCC
rnacentral:lncRNA from 1 species